rnacentral:sRNA from 1 species
GCCAGGUAUGGUGGCGCACGCCUGUAAUACCAGCGCCUCAGGAGGCUGAGGUAGGAGGAUCACAAGUUUAAAGCCAGCCUUAGCAAUUUAUCAAGGCUCUAAGCAACUCAGUGAGACCUUGUCUCUA